GACGAACGCUGGCGGCGUGCCUAAUACAUGCAAGUAGAACGCUGAAGGAAGGAGCUUGCUCUUUCCGGAUGAGUUGCGAACGGGUGAGUAACGCGUAGGUAACCUGCCUGGUAGCGGGGGAUAACUAUUGGAAACGAUAGCUAAUACCGCAUAACAGUAGAUAUCGCAUGAUAGCUGCUUGAAAGGUGCAAAUGCACCACUACCAGAUGGACCUGCGUUGUAUUAGCUAGUUGGUGAGGUAACGGCUCACCAAGGCAACGAUACAUAGCCGACCUGAGAGGGUGAUCGGCCACACUGGGACUGAGACACGGCCCAGACUCCUACGGGAGGCAGCAGUAGGGAAUCUUCGGCAAUGGACGGAAGUCUGACCGAGCAACGCCGCGUGAGUGAAGAAGGUUUUCGGAUCGUAAAGCUCUGUUGUAAGAGAAGAACGAGUGUGAGAGUGGAAAGUUCACACUGUGACGGUAUCUUACCAGAAAGGGACGGCUAACUACGUGCCAGCAGCCGCGGUAAUACGUAGGUCCCGAGCGUUGUCCGGAUUUAUUGGGCGUAAAGCGAGCGCAGGCGGUUAGAUAAGUCUGAAGUUAAAGGCUGUGGCUUAACCAUAGUACGCUUUGGAAACUGUUUAACUUGAGUGCAAGAGGGGAGAGUGGAAUUCCAUGUGUAGCGGUGAAAUGCGUAGAUAUAUGGAGGAACACCGGUGGCGAAAGCGGCUCUCUGGCUUGUAACUGACGCUGAGGCUCGAAAGCGUGGGGAGCAAACAGG
rnacentral:rRNA from 1 species